rnacentral:misc_RNA from 1 species
UUUCCGUAGGUGAACCUGCGGAAGGAUCAUUGUCGAAGCCUGACCAGCAGAACAACCUGCGAACUUGUAUACACAACCGGGGGCCGGGGCCCUGUAGCCGCGUGCCCUCGAACGGCAGGGAGACACCCGUGCCUUCUUGUCGAACAACGUACCCCGGCGCGGUCUGAGCCAAGGAACUUCAAUUAAAGAGUGCCACCGGUUGCCUCGGAAGCGAUGCGCGUGUCGGAGGCGAAUCUUGUACAAAACCAUAACGACUCUCGGCAACGGAUAUCUCGGCUCUC